AUCAUUCAACUUGGAAUUGUUACU
rnacentral:siRNA from 1 species